CUGUUGUAAAAAGGAUUGAGUUCUUGAUUGAUUCCCAGCUUGGUCAUUGGUGUAUAGCAGUGCUACUGAUUUGUUUACAUUCAUUUUGUAACCUGAGACUUUACUGAAUUCGUGUAUCAGAUCUAGGAGCCUUUUGGUUCUUCAUCGGGUAAUUGAGCUGAUAUCAGGUGUCUGAAGGAGGCAAGUUUUGAAGAUGUGGGUCAUGAUGGCUGCUGAAGCUUCCACUCCAUAUUUGAAGGUCAGCAGUUCUCAGGAAACCUCUAGCACUUCCAUCCCUGGUGGGAUGUGAUGCCUGUCUCAGUGUAACAUCAGAGAAGGGGUGUACUCUGUGCCCUAGAACUAGGAGCUAACAGAGAAAAACCAAAUGUGAUGUGGAGUCUGCUAGACAGGCUACUGGAGCAAGAGUGAAGCGAUGAAAGUCUCAUCAUUGGGACAUAUUAGGGAGGCAGCAGGUGGCUGAAAUCCUGGUGUGAUGUGGCUGGAUCAUGCAUGAUCUGAGGACUCCUGCACAGGUGACUGCAGGAUGAGUACAGAAUUUUUCUAUAAAUAUACUAAAAUACCAAGUAAGCCAGGAGCAGCCACUAGGCAAACACCAAACCUUGCAUUCCUGGCCAAACCUAUCACAGAGCUCAUCAGAUGCAGUGGAUCCCCAGGUUGCAAGUCAUAUAACCUGAGCAUGCCCAGAUGAACCAAGUAUGCCUGAUUGGUGAACCUGGAACUGGCCAGAACAGAAAAUGUCAACCACAUGUGGAAUCUAAGUAUUCAGAUUGAGAAAUGAGGACCAAAAUGAGAAGGCACAAUUAUUUUAUCUUGGAACCAACAAUCUUCGGAGAAUGUAUCCCAAAGAUACAAUUCAAAAAGAUAAAAAGGCAGAAGCACAAGGUCAUUCUUGGCAGAACAAAUUGUAACAGCAGAAGACUGGAAAUAAGACAGAUGUCCACCAAUAAAGGACUGACUGAAUAAUCUAAGGUGCAUCUACAUCCUAGAUUUCAAUGCCGGUAUAACAAGCAAGGAAGAUUCCCUCUCUCUGCUGCUAUGUAGUGAUUUCCAGGAUAUACCAUUAAGUGAAUAAAGCAAAGUGCAGAAAAAUGUGUAGAGCUGCUGUUGUCCCAUACCAUACCCACUGGCCACUCAUGGCUAUUUAAGUUAACUAAAUUUAAAUGGAAUUUUAAAUUCACUUCCUCAGUCACACUCACCACAUUUUAGGUGUUUAAUAGUCACAG
rnacentral:lncRNA from 1 species